rnacentral:rRNA from 1 species
UUUUUUAAUUGAGGACUGGAAUGAAGGGUAGUAACUGAGGGGAAAGUUUUUAAAAUUUAUUUUGAAUUUAGCUUAUAAGUAAGAAGACUUAUAUUAAUCUUAGGGACGAGAAGACCCUAGAAGUUUAUAAUCAUUGAUGAUUUUUGAUUGGGGCAAUCAUUGAAGAGAAAGAUUUUUAAUUCAGUGAAAAUAUAUAUGGAAAAAUUACUCUAGGGAUAACAGCGUUAUUUAAUUAAUGAGUUCUUAUUAAUAAUUAAGUUUGCGACCUCGAUGUUGAAUUAAAUUUAUUUUUUGGUGAAGAAGCUAAAUUGGAUUAGUCUGUUCGACUAUUAAAAAUUUACGUGAUCUGA